GUGGGGGAUAUUGCACAAUGGGGGAAACCCUGAUGCAGCGACGCCGCGUGAAGGAAGACGUACUUCGGUAUGUAAACUUCUAUCAGCAGGGAAGAAGAUGACGGUACCUGACUAAGAAGCCCCGGCUAACUACGUGCCAGCAGCCGCGGUAAUACGUAGGGGGCAAGCGUUAUCCGGAUUUACUGGGUGUAAAGGGAGCGUAGACGGUGAAGCAAGUCUGAUGUGAAAACCCGGGGCUCAACUCCGGGAUUGCAGUGGAAACUGUUUUACUUGAGUGCUGGAGGGGCAAGCGGAAUGCCUGGUGUAGCGGUGAAAUGCGUAGAUAUCAGGAAGAACACCGGUGGCGAAGGCGGCUUGCUGGACAGUAACUGACGUUGAGGCUCGAAAGCGUGGGGAGCAAACAGGAUUAGAAACCCCUGUAGUCC
rnacentral:rRNA from 1 species